rnacentral:lncRNA from 1 species
CAACAUCAGGGGAUGGGGGGACAGGAAAACAGGGAAUUGGGGCAGGAAAAUGAAAUCCAAAGGGGUGUCCUGUGGUCAUGUGGAUGGUGGAUGUUGGGUCCACGGUGAUGGCAUCAGGGACUGCAAACCCCAAAGAGAAAAGCCCUCCUUGCCUGGAGGAGGGCCGCCUCGCUUUUAGGGCUUUAGGGUCAAGAGAAAGGUGAGAAAUCCACCCCAAAGCAGCAAGGCGCAGGGCUGGGAGCUGGGAGCAUCACACGAAUGGGGCUAAUCGGGUGGGCGAUAUGGGGUCGGGGGGCACACGGCGGUGCCACCACUCCCUGUGGGCAACCCCAAACCUUCCCCGUCCCGUCCCCACCGCGGCACGUCACGCCGUGCGUGCUCCGAGUGGCAGGAGGGCUGAGGGAUGAUUAAAGAGGCCUUUGAUGAAGGCAAAAAAUUAAUAAACAAGCUCGCAACCCUGCCGGCCUCUAUUUACCGGCGGGUGCCGGCGCGGCGAGGCCGCCGAGGCCUGCUGCCACAUCAAACGCUGGGGCAGCGCCUGGCCGAGGGGACGGCGGCCUCGCCUCCCACGGUUUUUUUUCCUGGUCCCUAUGAGGCCGUGAGGAGGUCGGCGGGGCCGAUCCUAAAAGCAGGGCCCCGUCCGGUGCCGGCGGGGGCCGUGGGGGCCAUCCUGAGGGACACACGGGUCGGGGUGUGGUGUGGAGGCGCCGCUUGGCACGCUCGCCCCGUCGCCUCGUGGGGUUGGCGUUGCCACGUCUCUAUCCCUAAUGGUGCCCCCCCCAGCACGCCCGGUGUCCCCAAAUGUCCCUGCUGGCCCCCCGGGAUCAAGGCCGACACCCAACCAUGGCACCCAUGGGUCCCUCAGCCUCCCCCUUAUCACCCUGCCGGCUCCUUAUCGCCCUGCUGGGCAAACAGGAGCUCCCCACGGGCCCCAGGGUGGUGGCACGGGGCGGGGGGGGCAACCCUGUCCCUGUUUGUCCCUGUUUGUCCCCCCCCCAUGGGGCCAGGCGGGUGGGGACCCCUCUGCGUGCCCUCCUGGAUGGGGUCGGGGUUACCGGGGUGGUGUUUUUGCCGCGGGGGUGGCACCUGGGGGCUGGGGUGUGCCCCCCCCCCCAAUUUGGGGGGUAUUUGGGGGGGGGCAGCCCCUUGCUGCUUGCAUUUCAUGGCUGGGGGGGGCUGGGCUGUGCAUAGGGCUGUAUGGGGGGGGUCCCAAU